rnacentral:rRNA from 1 species
CCUACGGGAGGCAGCAGUGAGGAAUAUUGGUCAAUGGGCGCGAGCCUGAACCAGCCAAGUAGCGUGAAGGAUGACUGCCCUACGGGUUGUAAACUUCUUUUAUAAAGGAAUAAAGUGAGGCACGUGUGCCUUUUUGUAUGUACUUUAUGAAUAAGGAUCGGCUAACUCCGUGCCAGCAGCCGCGGUAAUACGGAGGAUCCGAGCGUUAUCCGGAUUUGUUGUGUUUAAAGGGAGCGUAGAUGGGUUGUUAAGUCAGUUGUGAAAGUCUGCGGCUAAACCGUAAAAUUGCAAUUGAUACUGGCAGCCGUGAGUAGAGUUGGGGUAGGCGGAAUUCGGGGUGUAGCGGUGAAAUGCUUAGAUAUCACGAAGAACUCCGAUUGCGAAGGCAGCUUACGACACAGACACUGACAUUGAGGCUCGAAAGUGUGGGUAUCAAACAGGAUUAGAUACCCAGUAGUC